UGGAGCAUGUGGUUUAAUUCGAAGCAACGCGCAGAACCUUACCAACCCUUGACAUCGCAGGACCGCUCCAGAGAUGGAGUUUUCUCGUAAGAGACCUGUGGACAGGUGCUGCAUGGCUGUCGUCAGCUCGUGUCGUGAGAUGUUCGGUUAAGUCCGGCAACGAGCGCAACCCACACCCUUAGUUGCCAGCAUUCAGUUGGGCACUCUAAGGGAACUGCCCGUGAUAAGCGGGAGGAAGGUGUGGAUGACGUCAAGUCCUCAUGGCCCUUACGGGUUGGGCUACACACGUGCUACAAUGGUGGUGACAGUGGGUUAAUCCCCAAAAGCCAUCUCAGUUCGGAUUGUCGUCUGCAACUCGACGGCAUGAAGUCGGAAUCGCUAGUAAUCGCGUAACAGCAUGACG
rnacentral:rRNA from 1 species